rnacentral:rRNA from 1 species
CGGACGGGUGAGUAACACGUGGGUAACCUGCCCAUAAGACUGGGAUAACUCCGGGAAACCGGGGCUAAUACCGGAUAAUAUUUUGAACUGCAUGGUUCGAAAUUGAAAGGCGGCUUCGGCUGUCACUUAUGGAUGGACCCGCGUCGCAUUAGCUAGUUGGUGAGGUAACGGCUCACCAAGGCAACGAUGCGUAGCCGACCUGAGAGGGUGAUCGGCCACACUGGGACUGAGACACGGCCCAG